AAGAGAUCCUCCUCACCCAGGGAUGGGGUCCGCAUCUCCUGCACUGGCAGGCGGAUUCUUUACCACUGAGCCACCUGGCAUGCUUGUGGUCACCCAGCUAGUACAUGGCUGAACCCAGGGAGGCCAUCUUCAAGAAUGGGGAGCAGAUAAGUCCCAGAUAUUCCAACUGAUGUGGAUACCAGGGCAGUAUAUUGAAUAAGCUGUCUUUAAUUGGCUCCACCACCUUGUUAAAGGAAAUGAUUGACUGAAACAGAGACUCAGGAUCAACUGGAUCGCAGAUGGAGAUGCAGAGGAAAGACAUAGCAACACUAGUCCUACCUGAGGUCAAGAGGGUCCCCCACACCAUGUGGCAGAGACAGGGCCCAAGGGUCCAGGCUGGACGAACAAUUGAGGGUCCUACAGGAACCGAGUGGAGAGCAGGUGCUCCAGGGCUGCUCCCUUCUUGUGCUUCAGAAUUUGCAAAGAAGAACUUCUUUGAGAUGUUCCCAUAGACUGAGGCUGUAUGCCUUCCCUCUCCCCUCUCCAUCCUCACUAGAUUCCUGGAUCAACUGAAACUUGACCGAAUUUAAGGGGCAGGGGCAGGUGGCACAGUUGGAACAGAAAGGAGAAAAAAAAGGGAAAAUUCUUUGUAAUUUCUUCAACACCAGGGGGCAAGGGGACUGUUUUCUCAUUGACUGGGAUAUGGAGCAACUGGAACUCUCAUUCACUGCAGGUUGGGGUAAAAUACAGCCGCAUUGGAAACCUGUUGGUGGAUCAUAAUAAAGUCAACCUUCUACCGC